AUGACUAUAGGGGUGCUCAGAAUCGAAUUCCGAGCGAGUAGGAGAAUUUUACAUUUUUUGACAAUCGAAGGUGGCACCAUUGCGGCAGCGGUUGGUAGGAGGCUGGAGGCUAGGGUUCGGGUUCAGUGUGAUGCGAAAGAUUUAUACCCAUCUCACGUUAAUCUGGACCGUUCAUCGUGUUUGAUCUUAACCGUUCAUCAAGUAUGUUGAUUGGGCGGUCUUACGUGGUUAAAUUUUUUUUAUUUACAUUCUGACACAAAGUUUCUGAUUUUUCUUUC
rnacentral:lncRNA from 1 species